GCGCCGGUGGUGUAAGGCGAACAUCGCUGCCCGGAAAGCAGAAAAUGCGGGUUCGAGUCCUGCCUGGCGCA
rnacentral:tRNA from 1 species